rnacentral:tRNA from 2 species
AGCGUGAACAGAUGGGGUCGAGAGCCUGCUGAGCUUUCGGUGCAACUCGUACAAGAGGUGAUUCCUGGGUUGCAUCCUGGCCGCGCUGC